rnacentral:tRNA from 1 species
GGAGGCCCGACGGCCCUGGUGGGUCGCUCGGUCUUCAAAACCGCAGCAGGGCGCCGAGAGGCGUCCUGGGGGAGUUCGAUCCUCCUGGGCCUCCGCCA